UUAAAUUAGCAUUUGCAAUGACUAUAAAUAAAGCACAGGGACAAACACUUAACGUUGCUGGAAUUGACCUAAGCGUUCAAUGUUUUUCNUUAACGGGCUGUGGUAAUGGAAAAACUGUUUUAUUACCAAGAAUACCAAUUAUACCCUCAAAUUUACCUUUUAAGUUUAAAUGUAUUCAAUUUCCCGUUAAAUUAGCAUUUGCAAUGAUUAUAAAUAAAGCACAGGGACAAACACUUAACGUUGCUAGAAUUGACCUAAGCGUUCAAUGUUUUUCUCACGGUCAACUAUUCGUCACCCUGUCACGUGUGACAUCCAGAUUUAAUUUGUAUAUUUUUGCCCCCGAUCCAGAAAAAGUUGAUAACGUCGUUUACAAAGAAAUUUUUUAAGUCUUUGAAUUAUCAAAAUAC